ensembl:lncRNA LINC01983 long intergenic non-protein coding RNA 1983
UUUUGCUUCUUCCCUGCAGACCAAGUUGGAGGUGCGUCCUCCUUUUGCCAGACCUCCUCUUGUGCCUCUUGCUGUAUGCAGAGCGUCGUGAUGACAGCUCGUCAAGCUUUCCAAUUUGAGUCUUCAGCUAUCCAGAAGCUGUGAAGGGGCAGCCCCGUCACCAGACACAAUCCUUGCAAAGGGACAGCCUCCAUCAGCCUCCAUGGAAGACUGACAGACCCACACAGGGGAGAAUAAAUCAACCUGCAAAUGAAGCAUUCAGCCAGCUUGGGAGUUCUGCUUUCCAUUUUAAAUUAAUACACCGGCCUUCUGGUUUGUACAUCGGUUGUCCUCCCGUGGGUCUGGCUGGUAGGCAUUGGUUUCUGAGGGGCUGGCUGUGUCUGGGGCAAGGUGGAGACCUCAAUCCUGGGCUGCCGGGAUGGGCCAAAGUGACCUUCGAUGGAGCAUCUCCCAACCCUAGAAUUACAGGGAUUUAUGAAAUGUGGACCUUUCCUGAAUGUUAAAUUUGCUGAGGGCCAA